UAUUGAAUGGUGUUUGUUUGGAGAGAUACUGGGAAAGCACUACCCGAACAGGUAUUGAGGAUGUUGUUUUGACAGUACUGAAUCUCCCACCACUGACUACAGCCCACAUUGUCCUAAUCUCUCCAGACCUGAAAAACAAAUGAAAAAACCAAAAAAAGAUGUUACUAUAAUUCAAGGACUAUCUUUAAAUCAUGCUUGGCAGAAACAGAAGAUGAUGUAGAACCGGAAAAUUGGUGUGAUGAAUAUUAGGCCUAAUUGGUGGACAAAAUAAUGAGGGGAUGGCCUAUUCUAUCCAUCACUCCCUUUUUGGAUCUUUAAGGAAAGACUUUACGGGGAAAAGAUGGAAGAACAGAUGGAAGCGACUGGAGCGUGCUUCGCCAUCAUGGAUGCCAACUCAAUCAUUUCCUGGGACCCCAGGCUUUCAUCAUCCUGAGCAUAAGAAAUAUCCUGACCAAACCAGGCCAGAAUCCAGAUGACGCUGCCACCCCAUACCUGCAGCAUCCCAUACACCACCUCAGAUGAAAUGAGAUUGGACUUUAACAAAAACAGCAGCAACAAUAGCUCCAGCUCAUCUCAACUAACUUCUCUUUUAUGCAAAAAGAUGGUAAUAACUGUCCUUACUACCAUGUAAGAGAUUGAAAAAUGUUUUAUUCUUCCUUUCAAAACUUUGUCCAGCUAAAGGAAAAGGGAACAAAAAUAUCUUGUUAAAAUGAAAACCUUAUUUAAUAUUUGACAUUUCCAAUGCUUUAAACUGUUUUUCCUCCUUUUCUGUAUCUUUCUUUAAUAAAAGGUUAAAAGGAU